AUGGGGAGACAGAAUGGUUUAACCUCCUGGAAGAGAAGAGGACAGCUCCCCAGGCCUGGGCCGAGAGGCUGCAACUUCUGCAGGGACGAGACAGACCAGGAUGGUUUCCAGGAUGGUUUCGGGUGUACAAAGCCACCGUGCUUCUGUAGAAGCGACUGGGUCAAGUCAUGCGGAACUUGCUUCACGGCCUCAGGCCUUUGCACAUGUUUAGAGUCAGUUCCCUCAGCCCUUCCAGCCUCCAGGCUCAGCCUCCUGAGUAGCUGGGACUACAGGUGCCCGCCACCACGCCCAGCUAAUUUUUUUGUAUUUUUAGUAGAAAUGGGGUUUCACCGUGUUAACCAGGAUGGUCUCGAUCUCCUGACCUCGUGAUCCUCCCGCCUCAGCCUCUCAAAGUGUUGGGAUUACAGGCGUGAGCCACCGCACCUGGCUAAUUUUUUUUUCUUUUAACCAUUCUUAUAGAUGUGUAGUAAUAUCUCAUCAUAGCUUUUAGUAAUAUUUCAUCAUUAGGGAAAUUUGCAUUUCUCUAAUGACUAAUGAUGUGAAAUACUUUUUUAUCUGCAUGUUUGC
rnacentral:lncRNA from 1 species